rnacentral:rRNA from 1 species
UACGAAGAGGGCUAGCGUUGCUCGGAAUCACUGGGCGUAAAGCGCACGUAGGCGGAUUGUUAAGUCAGGGGUGAAAUCCUGGAGCUCAACUCCAGAACUGCCUUUGAUACUGGCGAUCUUGAGUCCGGGAGAGGUGAGUGGAACUGCGAGUGUAGAGGUGAAAUUCGUAGAUAUUCGCAAGAACACCAGUGGCGAAGGCGGCUCACUGGCCCAGUACUGACGCUGAGGUGCGAAAGCGUGGGGAGCAAACAGG